CUGUACAGAAGAUGGCAGUGUUCACUCAGAUUACAGAAGAUUUGAAUCUUCAGUUGGUGUAACAGUUCAAAAAAGGAAAUGUGCACAAAAUCAGUCAGAGUCUGUGAGUUAGAGUUUGAGCUGCUCGUGAUGAUCCAGGAUGUUUCUAUGCAGUGUCUGGCUCAUUCUUCUCUUUUCAGGUGAUGCGGGUGGAGAAGGAAUAGCUCCUCUCUACUCAUCUGAACUUGCUAACAAUGGUGACUCCAUUACUUUGACCUGUAAUUACAAUGGGUCUUACAGCAGUGAUUCCCUCCUGUGGUAUCGUCAAUACAGCAACACCAAACCUCAGUUUUUGUUUCUGGUUAGUGAAUCCAACCUUGAGCAGCCAGCUGACCCUCCAAUUCCUGGAGUGUCUGCCACAGUAAAUGAGGAAAAAAACCGUGUGGAUCUGAAGAUCUCCUCUUCUUCAGUAUCAGACUCUGCAAUGUACUACUGUGCCCUGAAGCCCACAGUGACAGGAAACACAUCAACACUGUACAAAAUGAAGGGGAAAACAACUAAACGAAAAACUCUAGAAGUACAGACUCUUUCAAUUGUACAAAAGCAAAAAUGUGUUGAUAAAGAUCAAUAGUGCAGCAACACACUUCUCAAUUUAGAAAUGAUUCAGCGUUGCCUCCCUGAUUUUGAAAUUC